rnacentral:lncRNA from 1 species
CCACUGGGAACUUUGUUUAGUUCUCAAACCCUGUUUUGCAGAGCCUAAUACGAGCGCGUGCGUCGAGGAUCACGGCAAGGGUAUCGCGCCCUAGAUAGAGUGGACCAUCGGCAUUAGCUCACUACCAUCGAGUAUAAAAGGAAAGAAUGAAUGUAAAAACCUUUUUGGAAAGAGAAUGUGAUAUAUAUGUUAGAUGUUAGUUUGUAUGUUAAAUGAGAGGUUUUGUAAUAAGCUAAAGAAUGUAAGUUGUUAAACACACUAUGUGGAAAUGUUCUAGUAAGUAGCUUACUUUCUCUCGUAUCUUGAUAUGCCUCUCGCAAAUGUUGAAUGCUAAUAUCUCUUGUUUAGAUAUGUAUGCAUAGACUUUGUUACGCUUCGGGCGGGCAGGGGAAACUCUGUCUGUUCUGCAGGUCUGUUUCGGACCCGAACUGUCCAAAUUGGCGGUGACGGGACGUGACAGAUUGAGGUGGUAUCAGAGCGGAGAGCGGUCUAGGAAGACCUAGGAAACCUUAGGACUUGUGGCCUUAAGGAUUUAGAGACGUGAGAGACGAUGACUCUUGGGUUGUGGCGAAAGUGAAAUGAUUGGGUCAAGUUGUGAAAUAUGUCUCUAAUGAGCUUUAGAGACGGAUUCAAGGUGUGAUUUAAUCUUAGCUUGAGGUGGUCAUGUUGGCGGCCGACAACAUGAUGCCGAGAGAUGAGAUUAAGUACCCUUGUUUAACUUUCGCCUAAUUGGGUUGUCUCGUUGGUGUUACUAACUUAUGUUAGUUAUAAAUUCGUGGAGUGUAACCGGGGGUGCUGUUUCCUUUCAGGACGUGAUGAGACGUGGAAGGCCACCCCCGAAGGUACCUACUCCUGAUCCGGCACCGCCUCUUGAGGUGCCUGAGUCGUCGGUAUCUGGCGAGAUACAAGAUUUGCGGGAUCAAGUUGCCGCUCUUGUUGGAGUGGUGCGGAGACAAGCUGAAGCUUCUCAGCAGCUGGCUGAGGCCUCCCAGCGACAGGAAGAACAGAUGGCGCUGCUUCGGGAAUUGGUGUCCCGACAGGCGGCGGCGACACCUGUCACUCAGCAGCCACCCGUCUCACCUGUGCGCGCCCCUACUGGAGUUGAGGCGGCGGGUGCGGCGGCACCACCGCCGAUGGGGUACACCGUGCCACCAGGUGUGGCGGCGGGCACUUGCCCGGCGAUGUCGAGUACUUCUACUCAUGUUGAUCCGGCGUUGGAGGCCGAGAGGGACCGAGCUCUCGCUUGCCUCACCGCAUUCAAGAAGUUCAAUCCGCCUAUUUUCAACGGGGAGUCGGGUGACCCGUGGGAAAUGGAAUCGUGGGUGGAUACAAUGGAGAAGUUGUUCGAGGAUCUCUAUACCCUUGAGCAAGAUAAGGUGCACCUAGCUGUGCAUUGCCUCGAGAAGUCCGCUCGUGUUUGGUGGAAGGCGACUCGUCAGAAUCGCUCCCCUACAUUACCCCCGAUGAUGUGGGAGGAGUUCCGAGGAUUGCUUUAUGGUGUUCACUUCCCGGAUAGUGAUAAGAAGAAAAUGGAGGAGCAAUUCCGAAUCCUUAAGCAAGGGGAUCGCACUGUUCGAGAUUAUGAGAGGGAGUUCUCUCACAUUGUGAAUUGCGUUCCACAUGUGGUCCGGAGUGACGAAGACAAGGCGGGAUGCUUUGAGCGUGGACUUCGCCGCGAGAUCUAUGCGGCGAUGCAACCCUUAAGGUUGAAGACCUUUACUGAGGUGUUUGAUAGAGCUCUUUGGGUAGAGCAAGGAAUCGCCAAGAUGCGCGCGGAGCGCGAAUCGAAUGAUAAGGGUGCAGAUAAGAAGCGGUCGGCUAGUGGUCCCGCUGGAUCAUCAAAGUACAAGAAGCCCCCGAAGUAUCCGCGUAAGCCGGGGAAGGAUCGUGGACCUCCUCACUGCUACAUUUGUGGGGGAAAUCAUCGGUCCCACGACUGUGAGCGGCGUGGGAAGUGUUAUCAGUGUGGGCAACCUGGUCAUGGAUGGCGUGAGUGCCCAAUGCGUGUGUCACCGGCUCCGACUUCUGCUUCGGCUCCGCCUGCUCCGCGACAGUUCACAGGCCAUCCGCCCGCGAUGUCUACUGGACGCACCAUGGUGCCGCGUCAAGCCGAGGGAUCUCGUGCGGCGCCAAGUGGACGAGUUUAUGCUGCUCAAGUGGAGGAGCCUGCCGUAGCCGACGAUGUCGUGGCAGGUAUUAUUUUAGUUCAUAAUACUAGAGCUAGAGCAUUGUUUGACACUGGCGCAUCAAACUCAUUUAUUAGCAAGUCUUUCGCUAAAGCUCAUGACAUUGAAAUUUCAUUGUGUGCGGACUUUUGGUGGGUGGAUGCACCUGAGCACACAUUUAGUAUCAAGGAUGAAUGUAGAGCUUGUCCGGUGCAAAUUGGCGAUUGGAUCAUGCCAGUGAAUUUGCUUGUGUUGAACCGGAUGAAGGGCUUCGACAUAGUCCUUGGAAUCGAUUGGCUCUCAAAGUAUCAUGCCACCAUAGAUUGUAAAAGCAAGGUGAUCACUUUUUGUGAGCCUGGUCAGAAGGAAGUUGUUUAUCGUGCAUGCAAGAGCUCGCUCUUUGCUAUGACAGUGUCGACGUCAAGAGCAAGAAGGUUGAUUAAAAGUGGAUGUGAAGCCUACUUGGCGUCGGUGGUGGAGACUCAAAAAGAGCUCCCAGCUCUUGGGGACAUUCCGGUCGUAUGUGAAUUUCCGGAUGUAUUUCCCGCGGAAUUACCGGGAUUGCCACCGGACCGGGAGAUCGAAUUUGUGAUUGAAUUAAUUCCCGGGACGACGCCGAUUUCUAAAGCUCCUUACCGCAUGGCACCAGCGGAGUUGAAGGAAUUAAAGGCACAGUUGCAAGACCUUCUCGACAAGGGCUUUGUUAAGCCGAGUGUAUCACCGUGGGGAGCCCCGGUGUUGUUUGUAAAGAAGAAAGACGGAUCGCUUCGACUCUGCGUGGAUUAUCGCGAGUUGAACAAGGUCACAAUCAAGAACAAGUACCCGUUGCCUCGUAUUGACGACUUGUUUGAUCAGUUGCAAGGGUCGCGGGUAUAUUCGAAGAUUGACCUCCAGUCGGGCUAUCAUCAGUUGAAGGUUAAGCCGGAGGAUGUGCAUAAGACUGCGUUUCGGACGCGGUAUGGGCACUAUGAAUUCACGGUUAUGCCAUUUGGACUCACGAAUGCCCCGGCGGCUUUCAUGGACUUAAUGAACCGUAUCUUCAAGUCUUACUUGGACCGUUUUGUCGUAGUCUUCAUAGACGACAUCUUGGUCUACUCUCGGAGUGAUGAAGAGCAUGUGGAGCACUUGAGAAUUGUGCUACAACUACUUCGGGAGGAGAAAUUAUAUGCCAAGUUAAAGAAAUGCGACUUUUGGCUUCGGAAAGUUGCAUUCCUUGGGCAUGUGAUCUCGGCUGACGGAGUUUCGGUUGACUCGGGUAAGGUGGAGGCAAUAAAGAAUUGGCCUCGCCCGACGAAUGUGACUGAGGUUAGAAGCUUUUUGGGCCUUGCCGGCUAUUAUAGACGGUUCGUGGAAGGAUUUGCUAAGAUAUCUCUUCCACUAACGCGUCUUACUCAGAAAGGAGUUAAGUUUGCGUGGAGCGAGGAUUGUGCUCGAGGCUUUGGGGAAUUAAAGAAGAGAUUGACUACAGCUCCGGUCCUUGCCUUACCUACUCCCGGUGAGAGUUUUGUGGUGUAUAGCGAUGCUUCGCGAUUGGGUCUUGGGUGCGUGUUGAUGCAACGCGGGCAAGUUAUUGCAUAUGCUUCCCGACAGUUGAAGGCCUAUGAGAAAAAUUAUCCAACCCAUGAUCUCGAGUUGGCUGCCGUGGUCUUCGCACUCAAGUUGUGGAGACACUAUUUGUAUGGCGAGCGUUGCGAAGUAUACACCGACCACAAGAGCCUCAAGUAUCUGUUUACACAGAAAGAAUUGAACCUGAGGCAGCGCCGAUGGUUAGAAUUGUUGAAAGACUAUGACAUCACAAUUCUUUACCAUCCGGGAAAGGCUAAUGUGGUUGCCGAUGCAUUAAGUCGGAAGUCGGUGGAAAAUCUUGCGAUGAUGAUUACUAAACAACCGCCAUUGCUUGAAGAAUUGCGGCGUUUCAAUUUGGAAGUGGUAGCUCCGAACGUUCCAAUUGUUAUUGCAAGCUUAGUGGUGCGACCGACCUUGUUGGAGAAAGUUAAGACUCAACAGUUACAAGAUUCAUAUCUCCAAAAGGUGCGAGGUGAUGUUGAGGGUGGACAUGCGAAUGAUUUCAACGUUGGCUCCGAUGGCACAAUCCGGUUUCGAGGCCGAUUAUGUGUUCCUAGUGAUGAGGGAAUGCGGAGCGAGAUCAUGCAAGAAGCACACCAAUCCCCUUAUAGCAUACAUCCGGGUGGCACUAAGAUGUAUAAGGAUUUGAGAAACCAUUAUUGGUGGCCCGGGAUGAAGAAGGAUAUUGGUCGCUUUGUGGCGCAAUGUUUGGUGUGCCAACAAGUUAAGGCCGAACAUCGACUCCCUGCGGGAAAGCUACAAAGUUUACCAAUCCCCGUGUGGAAAUGGGAGGACGUGACUAUGGACUUGGUAGUGGGUUUACCUCGUUCUCAAGGCGGUCACGAUGCAAUAUGGGUGGUCGUGGAUCGCCUCACGAAAUCUGCGCAUUUCAUGCCAAUCCACACCACAUGGUCAGGUGAUAAACUUGCACAAGUUUAUUUGGAUGAGGUGGUCCGACUACAUGGUGUUCCGGUAUCAAUUGUGUCGGAUCGAGACCCUCGAUUUACUUCCCAGUUUUGGAAGAACUUGCAAAGUGCUCUUGGCACACGGCUCGAAUUUAGUACUGCCUUUCAUCCUCAGAGCGAUGGUCAGUCGGAGAGGACGAUACAAAUCCUUGAGGAUAUGUUGCGAGCAUGUGUUCUUGACUUCAAAGGAGGUUGGCAUAGUUAUUUGCCAAUGGCGGAGUUUGCCUAUAAUAAUAGUUAUCAAGCGAGCAUUGGAAUGGCACCGUUCGAGGCCUUGUAUGGACGGAAGUGCCGCUCCCCAAUACAUUGGAGUGAAGUUGGAGAGCGACUUGAAAUGGGUCCAGAUGUAGUACAAGAGGCCGAGGAGAAGGUUCGCAUUGCUCGGCAAAGAAUGCUAACGGCACAGUCUCGGCAAAAGAGCUAUGCUGACAAGCGCCGACGAAGCCUCGAGUUUACCGUGGGUGACAAGGUAUUCUUAAAAGUCUCCCCUAUGCGAGGCGUUAAGCGAUUUGGAAUGCGAGGGAAGUUAAGUCCUCGCUAUGUUGGGCCGUAUGAGAUUUUGGAUCGGGUUGGCCCCGUGGCUUAUCGGUUAGCAUUGCCACCUCGACUUGCGGGAGUGCACAAUGUGUUCCAUGUGUCGACACUCCGCAAGUAUGUUUCUAACUCUACGCAUGUACUCCAAUAUGAACCACCCGAGCUUCAGGAGGAUAUGUCGUACGAAGAAUUUCCGGUGCGCAUCCUAGCUCAUGAGGAGAGAAAGCUACGGAAUCGUGCGAUCGCAUAUGUCAAAGUUCAAUGGAGUAAUCAUGCUGAACGAGAAGCUACGUGGGAGCUCGAAAGCAAGAUGCAUGAAGAGUAUCCUUACCUCUUCCCCGAGUCUAAUUGAGGUAUAAUUUCAAGUUUCGAGGACGAAACUUCUUUUAAGGAGGGGAGGAUGUAGUGUACCGAAUUUUAACAUAGAAGUAAGAGUAAAUAAAAAUAGUGUAAAAUACUAUUUUUAUUGGACUUAAAGAAGUUUUCUAUGUGCAAAUGAGGUGCUUACUUGGGGGUUAAGUUUCCUAUGCAUAAGUAAAGAGUUUACUUGGGGGUCAAGUUUUCUAUGGCUAAGUAAUGGGCUAACUUGGAGGCUAAGUUUCCUAACUUGGAGGCUAAGUUUCCUAUGUAUAUAUAAAUAUGAUAUGAGGACUUGGACCUUUUCUCUCAUUUUCCACCCCUUAACCCAAAAAGAGAAGCCUUCUCUUUCCCUCUCUAAACCUCUCUCUCUCCUAGCUCCUAGAGUGUUACUCCAAAAGUGGAGAUUUGGUGGAAGAAGCUUACUUGGAGGUGGAGCUUUCCUCUUCCUCACCAUUGGCUUGAAGAGAGCUUGGGUUUGGAUCGGAAGGAAUCGACGGCCGUAAAUCGCGCUACUAGGCUACCCGCUUUGUGUCGACGCCACAAGGUGGGGGGUGCUAUCCGAAAUAGCCGGGUUUCAUUCUAUGUCUAAGUUCUACUAUUUUUUGAUCAUAUAUCAUCAUGUGUAGAAUAGUGAGAAUCCUAUGAGUUGUGGUAAUUUCAUGCUUAGUGUGAGGGAUGAUGAUCUAUGAUUGCAUGAUACUUGUAGGAAUAUCUAUUUGCAUGAUGUUGAGAUAGAUAUGGACAUGUAUGUUGCAUGAGAACCUUUAUAUGAUGCCAAUAUAGAUGUAUGUAUACAUAUAGCAUGAGUUGCUAGUGGACAUAUGCAUGUGGAUAUGAUGUGAGAAUAGACUAGAUUCAUGAGGAACUAGUAUGUGAACCAAUGACAUUUGAGAAUUGGAAACCUAUGCAUAUGUGGCCGACUUGAGCAUGCCUUGUGAUGAGGACUUGAUGAUACUCGCUUUGUCUGUUAUAGCUUGUGGAUGGUCGCGCCUCCCAAGCAGUGAGCUCCGGAGUUGUAUCACAAUUGCGAAUAAAGCGGGGGGCCUCUCCCGUCAGACGUCACGGUCCCGUGACAGUGUGUGCGAGUGGUUCGACCUUCGGGCGAAUCGAUUGGACUUGGCAAAAGGCAUGAUCAUGGCAUUUCAUAUAUCGUUUGCAUACAUGAUAGAACUUAAAUUCAUACUUGUUGACAUGAUUAGUAAAGGCAUAGCUACACAUUUGAGCAUGAUAUAGAUGUAGAUGAGCAAGGUAGGCUUGUUGUUAUAUCUCUUAUUUCUUUGACAUAUUAUCCUCUUUAUUGUUUCUAUGCCUUUCUUGGACCUAGUGGGAAAAUCGGCGGGGUCGGCGGCCGAACCCACUGGGAACUUUGUUUAGUUCUCACACCCUGUUUUACAGAGCCUAGUACGAGCGCGUGCGUCGAGGAUCGCGGCAAGGGCAUCGCGCCCUAGAUAGAGUGGACAAUCGACAUUAGCUCGCUACCCCCUAUGUAUAGCAAGGAAUGAAUGAAUGUAAAAACCCUUUUGGAAAGAGAAUAUGAUGUGUAUGUUAAAUGAGAGGUUUUGUAAUAAGCUAGAGAAUGUAAGUUGUUAAAGACUCUAUGUGGAAAUGUUUUAGUAAGUAGCUUGCUUUCUCUUGUGUCUUGAUAUGCCUCUCGCAAAUGUUGAAUGCUAAUAUCUCUUGUUUAGAUAUGUAUGCAUGGACUUUGUUACGCCUUGGGCGGAUAGGGGAAACUCUAUCCGUUCGGCGGAUCUGUUUCAGACCCGAACUGUCCAAAUUGGCGGUGACGGGACGUGACANACUUUUCGGUCGUUUGAAUUUGGGUUUAGUUUAACGACUUUUCGGUUGUUUGAAUUUGGGUUUAGUUUAGCAAUUUUUUGAUCGAUUGAAAUCGAGAUGUUCAUGAAACCGAUUCAUGAAAUUAAUUCAUGCUAGGAGCCCGUUUGUAAAGUCCAUUAAAUUUAUGACAAGGAGGGCCCAUGAAAUUAAUUUAUAGAAUUAAUUCAUGAUAGGGGGCCUAUUUGGCAAACCCAUGAAAUUAAUUUGUCAAAUUAAUUCAUGAUAGGAGGUCCAUUUGGAAAGUCUAUAAAACUAAUUCAUGAUAAGGGGGCCUAUUUUGCAAACCAUGAAAUUAAUUCGUAGAAUUAAUUUAUGAUAAGGGGUCAUUUGGAAAGCUCAGGAAAUUAAUUCAUAGAAUUAAUUUAUAAUAAAGAGCCCAUUUGGAAAGCCCAUGAAUUCGGUUUGGGUUGGAGGUAUUUGGAUGACAUAGGUUUGGUAGAUUUGGUUGGGUUUUAUUUAUGAACUUUGGAUUUUGGAUCUUUGAGUUUUGGAUCUUUAUUUGUGGAUUUUGGAUUUUUGGGAUUUUGUUUGUGGGCUGAGAUAGAUCUUGGAUUUUAUAUGUUCAGGGCCCAACUCUGCAUGUGGGCUGAGACGGGUUACGGGCUUUAAUAUUCUGGGCUCGAAUCUGUAUGUGGGCUGGGUUUUUUAUUGAUUUUGAAUCCAAAUCUGCGUAUGGGCUGGAUUUCGGGCUCUACAGGUUGUGGACUCGAAUUUGCAUGUGGGGUUGGUGCCUCUCUUUUUUUAUUGCUUAUAAAGUUUAUUCGUGUAACCCAUAAAUAAAUAGCUCAAAUUCAUUUCAUCAACAAUUUUUUUUGGUUCCAUUUUUUUUGUUCUUUCUUUUUUUUUUUUUAACUGAGAGAAGGAACAACUUUUUUUUUGCAUUUGUUCUUUUCUUUCAUUUUCUUUUCUUUUUUUUCUCUUUUUUUUGUGUGGACUGUCAGAGAGAGAGAGAGAUACAACUCCCUCUCUCUUUGUCUGUGUGUGUACGAAAUUGAGACAGAGAGAGAGAGGGGGUACCUCUCCCUUUUCUUUUUUUUUUUUGCUAAUUGUGAGAGAAAGGAAACCCAACUCCUUUUUUUUUUCUUUUCUUUUUUUUUUUCUUCUUUUCUUUCUUUUUCCUUUUUUUUUGCUGACUGUGAGAGAGAGAGAGAGGGAAAACCCAACUCUCUCUCUCUCUCUCUCUCUCUCUCUUUCUUUGUGUGCGUACGAAACCGAGGGAGAGAGAGUAGUACCCAACAACUCCUUUUUUUUUUUCUUUCUUUUCUUUCUUUUCUUUUCUUUUUUAUUCUUUCUUUCUUCUUUUUUUCUUUUGUGUUGACUGCCAGAUAGAGAGAAGUCCAACUUUUUUUUCUUUUUCUUCUUUUUUUGUUUGUUUGUUUGUUUGUUUUUUUUUAUUAUUUGUCCAAAUAUACGAAAUUUCGUAUCUCAUUUUUUUUAUACGAAAUUUAUCACGUCGAGCAAUACGAUCAAAUCGAACGAAGAUGAUGAAUCAAAACAGAACCCGUCCAUUUUUAAUUAUCAUUCUUAUUGUUAUUAUUUUUUGUCGCGUUUUGUUCAAGUACGCGGAGUUUAAUCGUGUCGAGCCUAUCACGAAGAUGGCCGCUCGAUUAAUUCUUUUGACCAUGUCGAACCUAUCGCGAAGAUGGCCGCACGGUUUACGUAUCGAAAUAAACAGAGCUCGAUCACCCAUUUUGACCAUGUCGAGCCUAUCGUGAAGAUAGCCGCACGGUUUACAUAGUAAAAUAUCCGGUUCGAUCAAUCAUUUUGACCAUGUCGAGCCUAUCACGAAGAUGGCCGCACGGUUUAGAGAUUAGCGAUGCGUACGAUAGAAGCGACGAUUUAAUGUCAAAUUUGAUCGGUUCAAAACCUAUCACGAAGAUGGUCGGGUUGAUCAAAUUGACAAAAAAAAACUCACGGUUUAGAGAUUAGCGAUGCAUAUACGCGACGGAAGCGACGAUUUAAUGUCAAAUUUGAUCGGUUCAAAACCUAUCACGAAAAUGGUCGGGUUGAUCAAAUUGACAAAAAAACGGACUUACGCUAUGCGUAUGCAUGCAUAUCUCCUACUGUUAUAGAAGUCGUUGUGAUUGUCGUUGUCGAAGUCGUAGCCGAAUUCAAGAGCCAGAGUCCUUUUUUAAUUCUUCUUUUUUUUUGUUGCUUUGUACGGAAGAGGAGGGGUGCACAUGGCACCCCCACUGCCAGCCGAGAGAGAGAGAGUGAGAGAGGAGAGAGAGAGAGGAGAGUAUAAAAACUCUUUUUUUUUUGUUUCUCACCUUUUUUUUCUUUCUUCUUCUUCUUUUUUUCUUUUUUUUUUUUUGCUUUGGUUCUCUUUCGGAUCUCUCCCUUUCUUCCUUCCUCUAAAAAAAUUCUCUCUCUAGACUCCUCUUUCGAAAUUUGGAUCUUAUUUUAUAUAGGAUUCAAAGAUGAUUCCCAUUUGGGAAUAAUUUAAAAAAUCAAUUUAUGAGGAAACAAACCUCAAUCAACUAAUUAUACCUCUUUUGUUUUAUUUUUUGAUAAUUUCCUCUUUUUUUUUCUUUUGAAUCUUUUCUUUCCCUAUUUCCUUCCUUCUAUAUUUUCAAUUUGAAUUUGAACUUUUUUUUUGUCUCAANCUAGGCGUAGCAACUGUUGAAACUUCACAUUGUGACUUAGACUAGAUCUUCAGGAUGCUAGUUAUGACACCAUGUUAGAGACAUGAGGAUUGGAUAGUUGAGACUUGGACCAUGCUUGCUUGCCAUUUGUGCUCAUUCGCACAUGCUUGUGAGGGUCGCUCCCUACAAGCCGGCACUCCGGAGUUAGCCUAUGCGACCUAUGUUCGCUCGUGCGGUAUUGAGAAGCCUACGAGGUCGAGUGGGACAGACACAUUCCAAGAGUAGGAAUGUCGGGCUACCACAGGCACUUAGGCGGCACAAGCUGGACUACCUUUGGUAGGUCCUUGAUUGGAAAUGGAAAUCGAUACGGGGUCGAGAUUGGUUAAUCACUACUAGAUAGGUUUAGUAGUUGGAUUACAUUUAUAUGUUUUUUUGCAUAGUGUUGAGACAUGUAGUAUAUUUGAUAGUCUCUUGUUGCAUUAGAGCAUACUUGGUUGCCAUGAUAGAGCUUAUGCAUCAUGCAUUGAUAAGGGUUAUUGACAUUAGACUAGUGCCAUUGGACGUAAUUGUAAGGAUAGAAUAGAUGUACAUUUUGGUUUGCAUCACGCUUUCUUUCAGCAGUUUAUUUACAUGCUCCUUAUUGCUUAUUAUUAUUAUCGUUGCUUACCUUUGUUUUUGGGGCCUAGUGGAGCAGGAGCUGAGGUCAGUAAUUGCCCACUGGGAACUAUAGCUUAUAGUUCUCACGCCCUCUUUUUCUCGAUGUUUUCAGAGCCUUCCACUCAGGGCGAAGCUAGGGACCGCGGGAAGGGAGUUGCUUCGAGCUAGCUUCCUUUGAGGACGAUUCGCUAGGUGGUCUACCUCUCGUUGUGUUUUACUUUGGAGAGGUUGAGAGUUCUACCAGUGUAUUAGAGACCACCGUUUUUGUACUUUUGAGACAGAUAUUGUACUACUUAUGAUUUCUUUAUUGUCUAGCUUUGCUUGCUCUGAUAUCUCUAGUUGCUAGUUAUUUUAUUUCUUAUAUUUGUUCUAUCUCUUGCUUUUACUUCCGCUUUUAUCGUAGACGCCUUAUAUGUGUAGACAUAUGGCGGGUCUGGGCACGCUACUGGGAGGGCCUCCGCCGGUCCCGGGGCGUGACAUAUCUCUUCCACUAACGCGUCUUACUCAGAAAGGGGUUAAGUUUGCAUGGAGCGAGGAUUGCGCUCGGGGCUUUGAAGAAUUAAAGAAAAGGUUAACUACAACUCCAGUUCUUGCCUUACCUACUCCCGGUGAGAGUUUUGUGGUGUAUAGCGAUGCUUCGCGAUUGGGUCUUGGGUGUGUGUUGAUGCAACGCGGGCAAGUCAUUGCAUAUGCUUCCCGACAGUUGAAGACCUAUGAGAAGAAUUAUCCCACCCAUGAUCUUGAGUUAGCUGCCGUGGUCUUCGCACUUAAGCUAUGGAGACAUUACUUGUAUGGCGAGCGUUGCGAAGUCUACACCGACCACAAGAGCCUCAAGUAUCUGUUUACACAGAAAGAGUUGAACCUUAGGCAGCGACGAUGGUUAGAAUUGUUGAAAGACUACGAUGUCACAAUUCUUUACCAUCCGGGAAAGGCUAAUGUGGUUGCCGAUGCAUUGAGUCGGAAGUCGGCGGAAAAUCUUGCGAUGAUGAUUACUAACCAACCGCCAUUGCUUGAAGAAUUACGACGUUUUGACUUGGAGGUAGUAGCUCCGGACGUCCCAAUUGUUCUUGCAAGCUUAAUCGUGCAACCGACCUUGUUGGAGCGGAUUAAGACUCAACAAUUACAAGAUUCUUAUCUCCAAAAGGUACGAGUUGACGUUGAGGGUGGACGUGCUAGUGAUUUUAGUGUUGGCUCCGAUGGCACCAUUCGGUUUCGCGGUCGGUUGUGUGUUCCUAGUGAUGAGGGAAUGCGGAGCGAGAUCAUGCAAGAAGCACAUCAAUCCCCUUAUAGCAUACAUCCGGGUGGCACUAAGAUGUAUAAGGAUUUGAGAACCCAUUAUUGGUGGCCCGGGAUGAAGAAGGAUAUCGGUCGCUUUGUGGCGCAAUGUUUGGUGUGCCAACAAGUUAAGGCCGAACAUCGACUCCCUGCGGGAAAACUUCAAAGUUUACCAAUCCCCGUGUGGAAAUGGGAGGAUGUGACUAUGGACUUGGUAGUGGGGUUACCUCGUUCUCAAGGCGGUCAUGAUGCAAUAUGGGUGGUGGUGGAUCGCCUCACGAAAUCUGCGCAUUUCAUGCCAAUCCACACCACAUGGUCGGGUGAUAAACUUGCUCAAGUUUAUUUGGAUGAGGUCGUCCGACUACACGGAGUUCUGGUAUCGAUUGUGUCGGAUCGGGACCCUCGAUUUACUUCACAGUUUUGGAGGAACUUGCAGAGUGCUCUGGGCACACGGCUCGAGUUCAGUACUGCUUUUCAUCCUCAAAGUGAUGGCCAGUCAGAGAGGACGAUACAAAUCCUUGAGGAUAUGUUGCGAGCGUGUGUCCUUGACUUCAAGGGAGGUUGGCAUAGUUAUUUGCCUAUGGCGGAGUUCGCCUACAAUAACAGUUAUCAAGCGAGUAUUGGAAUGGCUCCAUUCGAAGCCUUAUAUGGACGGAAGUGCCGCUCCCCGAUACAUUGGGGUGAAGUUGGAGAGCGACUUGAAUUGGGUCCGGACGUGUUACGCGAGGCCGAGGAGAAAGUUCGCAUUGCUCGGCAGAGAAUGUUAACGGCACAGUCUCGGCAAAAGAGUUAUGCCGACAAACGUCGACGAAGCCUCGAGUUUGCAAUUGGAGACAAGGUAUUUUUAAAGGUCUCCCCGAUGCGAGGCGUUAAGCGGUUUGGAAUGCGAGGGAAGUUAAGUCCUCGCUACGUCGGGCCGUAUGAGAUUUUGGAUCGGGUUGGCCCUGUGGCUUAUCGGUUGGCGUUGCCACCUCGGCUUGCGGGAGUGCACAAUGUGUUCCAUGUGUCGACACUCCGCAAGUAUGUUUCCAACUCUACGCAUGUGCUCCAAUAUGAACCACCCGAGCUCCGGGAGGAUAUGUCGUACGAGGAAUUUCCGGUAUGCAUCCUAGCUCGUGAGGAGAGGGAACUACGGAAUCGUGCGAUCCCAUAUGUCAAAGUUCAAUGGAGUAAUCAUGGCGAACGAGAAGCUACAUGGGAGCUCGAAAGCAAGAUGCGUGAUGAGUACCCUUACCUCUUCCCCGAGUCUAGUUGAGGUAUGACUCUAAGUUUCGAGGACGAAACUUCUCUUAAGGAGGGGAGGAUGUAGUGUACCGAAUUUUUUUAAUAUAGAAAUAAGAGUAAAUAAAAGUAUAUAAAAUUGUGCAAAUGAGAGGGGCUAAGGUGUAAUUGUGCAAAUGAGAGGGGCUAAGGUGGAAUGGUGCAAGUAAAAGAGUUUUACUUGGAGGGCAAGUUUCCUAUGUAUAAGAGAUUACUUGGAGGGCAAGUCUCCCUAUGUUAUGAGAGGGACUAAAGUGUAAUUGUGCAAAUCAAGGGUUUACUUGGAGGGCAAGUUUCCUAUGAGUGUGAGUGAACCCUUGCCCCCUUUUUCCCAAACCGUAGGAAAGAGAGAGUGGGCUUUCUCUCUCUUUCUCUCUUUGUCCUUGUGGUCUCUCUUUCUCUCUCUCUUUCUCUUUAUUAAAAAGAGGAUUUGCUAAAGAGAGGAUUUGCUAAGAGAGGAUUAGAGAAUACUAAUUGGAGUUGCUUGGUGGUGAAGCAAGCUUAGUGGAGAAGAAGGCUUGGAAUUGAGCUACUUCCUUCAUCUUCUUCAUCACUUGGAUUAGAGAAGAAAGCUUGUUUAAGGUAAGCUUCAUGGGCUCUAAUGGCAUAUAGCUAGAGAUGGGUUUAAAUCUCUUAGAAUCUAGCUAGAUGGAAAUCCUAGUUAAUGUUAGGUUGCUAUUUGCUUGAAUCAUGAAUUUAUAUAGUAUAUUAUUGCAAUAGUGACCUCUAGGAUUUUGAAAGAGAGCUCUUGAUCAUGAGAGGUUUUAAUCUCAAUUGAUCAUAUGUUUCCGCAAUUGAAGGUAAAACCGAUGCGGAGGAUCAUUCGGAUUGAGAUUCCGUUGAGCCGGUGGUGGUCAAAGUGAAGAAAAUUCUAUUUUGCUUCAUUUGUCGCAGUUGGAAGAAAACAACGGCCAUAAAUCGCGCUACUAGGCUACUCGCUUCGUGUCGACAUCACGAGGUGGGGGGUGCUAUCCGAAAUAGCCGAGUUUCAUUCUAUGUCUAAGUUCUACUUUUAUUGAUCAUAUAUCAUCAUGCAUAGAAUAGUGAGAAUCCUAUGAGUUGUGGUAAUUUCAUGCUUAGUGUGAGGGAUAAUGAUCCAUGAUUGCAUGAUACUUGUAGGAAUAUCUAUUUGCAUGAUGUUGAGAUAGAUGUGGACAUGUAUGUUGCAUGAGAACUUUUAUAUGAUGCCAAUAUAAAUAUUGUACAUGUUGUAUGAAUUGCUAGUGGACAUAUGCAUGUGAAUAUGAUGUAAGAAUAGACUAGAUUCAUGAGGAACUAGUAUGUAAACCAAUGACAUUGUGAGAAUUGGAAACUAAUGCAUAUGUGGCCGACCUGAGCAAAGCAUGCCUUGUGAGGAUAGGGAUAUGGUACUCCCGUGGCCCUCGAAUGAGAGGACUUGAUCAUACUCGCAUUGUCUGUUAUAGCUUGUGGAUGGUCGCUCCUCCCAAGCAGUGAGCUCCGGAGUUGAAUCACAUUGAGAUUGGAACGGGGGAGAGAGUCACUACGGUGCGCCCUCGGCAGACGGUCACGGUCGCGUGACAGUAUGUGUAGCGAGUGAUUCGACCUUCGGGCGAAUCGUUUGGAUUUGACACAGGCAUGAUCAUGACAUUUCGUAUAUAGUUGCAUACAUGAGAGAACUUAAACAUGUACUUGUUGACAUAAUUUGUAAAGGCAUAGCUACACAUUCGAGCAUGAUAUAGAUGUGGAUGAGCAAGGUAGGCUUAUUGUUAUAUCUAUUAUUCCUUUGACAUGUUGACCUCUUUAUUGUUUCUAUGCCUUUCUUGGACCUAGUGGGAAAAUCGGCGGGGUCGGCGGCCGAACCCACUGGGAACUAUGGAUAAUAGUUCUCACACCCUGUUUUGCAGAGCCUAGUUCGAGCGCGUGUGUCGAGGAUCGCGGCAAGGGCGUCGCGCAGUAGAUAGAGUGGAUCACCGGCGUUAGCUCCCUACCCUCGAGAAUAAAAAAGAAAAGAAUGAUAUGUAAAACCCUUUUGUGAAGAAAUGUAAUGUAUUUGAGGGAUGGCAUUUUGGUUGUAUGUAUGAGAAGUCAAGUGAAAUAUGUAAUGGUUCUUGUGUGUGAACAAGUAAUGAAAUAGAUAGUUUAAAUUCUCUCGUUUCUGUGAUUGCCUCUCUCAAUGUUGAAUGCUAACAUCUCUUGUUGGAUAUGUAUGCAUAGACUUUGUUACGCUUCGGGCGAGCAGGGGAAACUCUGUCCGUUCGGCGGGUCUGUUUGGGCCCGAACUGUCCAAAUUGGCGGUGUCGGGUCGUGACAAAACAUGUCCAAGUUUCUAUACAAAAAUAAACAUCUAUUGGGGUUCCUCCUCUAGUGCAAGCAACUAUGGUAGGAGACAUUAUCUAGUUUGCGAUCACCUUACCUUAAUCAGACACUGACACUAAGAACUCUGAAAGAAAC